rnacentral:rRNA from 1 species
AGCGAACGCUGGCGGCAGGCCUAACACAUGCAAGUCGAACGAACCCUUCGGGGUUAGUGGCGGACGGGUGAGUAACAGGUGGGAACGUGCCUUUAGGUUCGGAAUAACUCAGGGAAACUUGUGCUAAUACCGAAUGUGCCCUUCGGGGGAAAGAUUUAUCGCCUUUAGAGCGGCCCGCGUCUGAUUAGCUAGUUGGUGAGGUAAUGGCUCACCAAGGCUACGAUCAGUAGCUGGUCUGAGAGGAUGACCAGCCACAUUGGGACUAAGACACGGCCCAAACUCCUACGGGAGGCAGCAGUGGGGAAUCUUGCGCAAUGGGCAAAGCCUGACGCAGCCAUGCCGCGUGGAUGAUGAAGGUCUUAGGAUUGUAAAAUCCUUUCACCGGUGAAGAUAAUGACUGUAGCCGGAGAAGAAGCCCCGGCUAACUUCGUGCCAGCAGCCGCCGUAACAC